AGUGAACGCUGGCGGUAGGCCUAACACAUGCAAGUCGAACGGCAGCACAGUAAGAGCUUGCUCUUACGGGUGGCGAGUGGCGGACGGGUGAGGAAUACAUCGGAAUCUACUUUUUCGUGGGGGAUAACGUAGGGAAACUUGCGCUAAUACCGCAUACGACCUACGGGUGGAAGCAGGGGAUCUUCGGACCUUGCGCGAUUGAAUGAGCCGAUGUCGGAUUAGCUAGUUGGCGGGGUAAAGGCCCACCAAGGCGACGAUCCGUAGCUGGUCUGAGAGGAUGAUCAGCCACACUGGAACUGAGACACGGUCCAGACUCCUACGGGAGGCAGCAGUGGGGAAUAUUGGACAAUGGGCGCAAGCCUGAUCCAGCCAUACCGCGUGGGUGAAGAAGGCCUUCGGGUUGUAAAGCCCUUUUGUUGGGAAAGAAAAGCAGCAGGUUAAUACCCCGCUGUUCUGACGGUACUCAAAGAAUAAGCACCGGCUAACUUCGUG
rnacentral:rRNA from 1 species